CAGAGCAAGACUCCAUCUCAAAAAAAAAAAAGAAAAUAUUUUUUGCAUGUGUGAAACAGAACUUUGUCAGGGGCUGAGCAGCUGAUUUGGGUUAUCUAGGGAAAAUCCUUCCUUCAUUUGACAGGUGAAGACAGGACUCAAGCCCAGAGAGGGGAGGAUCCUUGCCCAGGAUUACAGUGCCAAGUGGAGGGUGGGCCUUGCUCAUUCAUCUGGAUUUUGAGUGGUUGAGUCUAGGACCAGGCCAAGGGGCCUGACAAAGGAGAAUGUCCAAGAAGCAACCAGUAGAGAGAUGACUCACCUCUCUCACUGCAAGGUUUACCCAAGGUCCAGCCCCCUAGGCACCAUGUCGGACAGUGAUCUAGGCGAGGACGAAGGCCUCCUCUCUCUGACGGGCAAAAGGAAGCGCAGGGGGAACCUGCCCAAGGAGUCGGUGAAGAUUCUCCGGGACUGGCUGUACUUGCACCGCUACAACGCCUACCCCUCAGAGCAGGAGAAGCUGAGCCUUUCUGGACAGACCAACCUGUCAGUGCUGCAGAUAUGUAACUGGUUCAUCAAUGCCCGGCGGCGGCUUCUCCCAGACAUGCUUCGGAAGGAUGGCAAAGACCCUAAUCAGUUUACCAUUUCCCGCCGCGGGGGUAAGGCCUCAGAUGUGGCCCUCCCCCGUGGCAGCAGCCCCUCUGUGCUGGCGGUGUCUGUCCCAGCCCCCACCAAUGUGCUCUCCCUGUCUGUGUGCUCCAUGCCGCUUCACUCAGGCCAGGGGGAAAAGCCAGCAGCCCCUUUCCCACGUGGGGAGCUGGAGUCUCCCAAGCCCCUGGUGACCCCUGGUAGCACACUUACCCUGCUGACCAGGGCUGAGGCUGGAAGCCCCACAGGUGGACUCUUCAACACGCCACCACCCACACCCCCAGAGCAGGACAAAGAGGACUUCAGCAGCUUCCAGCUGCUGGUGGAGGUGGCGCUACAGAGGGCUGCUGAGAUGGAGCUUCAGAAGCAGCAGGACCCAUCACUCUCAUUACUACACACUCCCAUCCCUUUAGUCUCUGAAAAUCCCCAGUAGGCAUCUGCCAACAAGGGUGCUCAAGGCUCAAGCCAGCUGUCCUGGGUUUCCGUUUUGGUUCCCUUUCAUACAGAGGGUUUUCUAUGGAUCACUGCCAAACAUUGGGAUCAUCUCCUCUGUCCAGAGGUCUUCAGCAGGAAGACGCCAGCUGGCACCACUGCACUGUGAUAGGGGCCCUCUCCUCUGCUGACUCUGCCGUUUCUCCAGGCCUCCCCUCAGUGAUGAGACCAAGAGAUCGGAGACAAGCAUGGUGCUGAUGCUGCUGCUGCUUCUCCAGAAAAUCCCUGGGACACCUUUGUUCCAGCCUGGUUUCCUGGGCUGGGCUCAGGAAAGCUGCCAAGUUCAGUCCUAUGUUGGGUCCAAGCUGCCCCUGUGCUGUUUCUGUCAAGCCAGGCACAGAAGGGUAGAAAGCCACAGCAGGGGGCAGUCCAGCAGACUCUGACUCAACUUUCUAGGUACCUAGCAGAGAAGGAUGGUAAGAUCAAAAGGUGUUUGGGUUUUCUUUUCUUUUUUAUUGUAGUUUUUUUGGGGGGGUGGGGGGAAUAAACUAGACUGAAGCGAUGGAUUUUUUUUUUUUCUUUAAUGUUUUUCCCUUUGUUCUUGAACAUUUUUGCCCUGCAGCCUGAGUUUUGAAUUCUUUUAGGAACUUGGAUUAGAGGGGCCCUAUGUCAGAAGCUCCCAGCACCUCCUACUUGGGAGAGAAGUGAGCCAUCUGCUGGUCAGGAAGUCCUCCAAAGAGGCAGCCUUUCCCACAAUGGUGGCAGGAAACUACCUGGGGAAAGCAGGAAUAGUGUCCACUGCUGCCAGGGAACUGCCUUCAGAGAAGGCUGGGGCUGGAAAAGGGUUAGAAGCCUGCUAGCUGGGAUUGUCUUUGUUUCAGCUUCCUUUAAAUUAGAGUUACAGGGGCCCCUGCCCAGUGAACAGAUCACAAUUGGUCUUAUGCUCCUCCCUCUCCCCCAUUUUUUCUUUUGCUGUUUUGUUUUUUGUUUUUUUGAGAUAGAGUCUCACUCUGUCACCCAGGCUG